CACACCGCCCGUCACAUCAUGGAAGUCUCUUGUUCCCGAAGUCAAAUGGUCAACCGCAAGGAAACCAUUGCCUAAGGAAUGAGCGGUAACUGGGAUG
rnacentral:rRNA from 1 species